ensembl:lncRNA
AAAGAGGGAGGGAGACAGCUGAAAUGUGUCUUGCCCAAGGUCAUGCAAAAGGUUGGUUUCAGAGCUGAGAUUAUACCCUAUAGCCCUAUAUUUGCAACUAUGCAACUAAAACCCAAAUUCCUCCUGGAGGAGUUGCUUUUUAUUUAAAGGCAGAAAAUGGUAAGUGCUCUUAGCCUUUAACUUAGUUAGACUUUAUAAUGACCUUUUUCCUUAAUUACCCAGCAUUCAUCAAAAUAACACACUUUGUACUUCUGAAGCUCUUUUCUGUGAGACAAAGCUGUGAUCUGGUAAAAUAGUAAACAGCUGUUGAUUUUAUAGAGAAGAAAAUAGAGAUAAGCCAUGCAGCAGCAACAGGAAUGCCACAGGAACAAGAAGCUGAAACUCCGAGUCCUGCUGAAUCAGCUUGAAGUUGUUAAUUCUACAGGUGAUUCUGCUUGUAUGCUAUGCUGAUCCAUGCACAGCAGCCAGCUUUAUGUCACCAGCAUACUUCCCUAAAGACUGAGAUUUUGGUUCUAGCUCAACAUAUGGACCUCAGAACGAAGAGGUGACGUGAUUGAUCUCUCUCCCCCCACCUCACAGCAUGUUGCUGACUUCUGCACAGCCCAGCUGAAGAUGGGCAGGCAGCUCCUGGAAGGACACACGAUGCCCUUUCUUCUUCUGAAUGUUGGCUUGCUGUGGGGCUCUGGAGAAAUAACUGAGCUGAGGAGGGGGACAGCGCUGGUGCUUAGACCCUUUUGUUGUUUUUAUUCUUUCAGUCUCUAAGGUGUGAUCUCCUGCCUCUAUCCGAGACAGCUCAGGAAUCCAUAUGGUCCUGCCAAGGCAAAGGUCUUCAGCUCCUCACAGAUCUCUCCUCCUCUUGCUGCGGGCAGAAAGCUGGGUAGUGUUUUUGGACUUUGCUGCUUCAAACUUGUAAAACUUGUAUAGCAACUGUGAACUAAAACUCAAAUGAUACUCUAGCAAAACAAGCCUAUGCUCCUCCAGCACCUGCUCGUCUUGCAAGGAUGGGAAGGGAAAAUGGAUGGGUUUUGAGUUGUUUGAGGCACUUCAGGAGAACGCUGGGGUUAUGCAAUUGUAGUGGUGCACUGUCCUCACUGGAAGAAGAUAUGAGUUGGAACACUUCCCAGUGACUCCUCUUCCCUCUUUGUGUAUCUGUGAGGCAUAUAAAGUCCUUGAUAGGGAAGUAACUUUAUGGAAAUGAACUGCACUCAAAGCAAGAUUUAGGUAUUUGCUUCAAACAUAAACAUAAAGAACAGCAUGCAGCCCAGCUCCCUACAGUGCACCAGUUAAAACUCUGCACGUUGUACCAUAUAGCACAGCACGGCUGGCUUUGCAAAUGAGGUCCCCAGAGCAUCACAUUCACCUGCAAAGGCUCAGCUCUUCAGAGGAAGUCAGG